UACGUAGGGGGCUAGCGUUGUCCGGAAUUAUUGGGCGUAAAGCGCACGUAGGCGGCUCUGCAAGUCGGAUGUGAAAUCCCUCGGCUCAACCAAGGAAGUGCAUCCGAAACCGCGGAGCUUGAGUACUUAAGAGGAUCGCGGAAUUCCCGGUGUAGAGGUGAAAUUCGUAGAUAUCGGGAGGAACACCAGUGGCGAAGGCGGCGAUCUGGGAAGAUACUGACGCUGAGGUGCGAAAGCGUGGGGAGCAAACAGG
rnacentral:rRNA from 1 species